GCAUAUCAAUAAGCGGAGGAAAAGAAACCAACAGGGAUUGCCUCAGUAACGGCGAAGUGAAGCGGCAACAGCUCAAAAUUUGAAAUCUGGCCGCAAGGUCCGAGUUGUAAUUUGUAGAGGAUGCUUUUGGCGAGGUGCCUUCCGAGUUCCCUGGAACGGGACGCCAUAGAGGGUGAGAGCCCCGUACGGUAGGACCACCAAGCCUCUGUAAAGCUCCUUCGACGAGUCGAGUAGUUUGGGAAUGCUGCUCUAAAUGGGAGGUGUACGUCUUCUAAAGCUAAAUACCGGCCAGAGACCGAUAGCGCACAAGUAGAGUGAUCGAAAGAUGAAAAGCACUUUGAAAAGAGGGUUAAAAAGUACGUGAAAUUGUUGAAAGGGAAGCAUUCAUGACCAGACUUGGGCUUGGUUGAACAUCCGGCGUUCUCGCCGGUGCACUCUGCCAGUCCAGGCCAGCAUCAGUUUGCCCCGGGGGAUAAAGGCGGCGGGAAUGUGGCUCCCUUCGGGGAGUGUUAUAGCCCGUCGUGUAAUGCCCUGGGGCGGACUGAGGAACGCGCUUCGGCACGGAUGCUGGCGUAAUGGUCAUCAAUGACCCGUCUUGAAACACGGACCAAGGAGUCGUCUUCGUAUGCGAGUGUUCGGGUGUCAAACCCCUACGCGUAAUGAAAGUGAACGUAGGUGAGAGCUUCGGCGCAUCACCGACCGAUCCUGAUGUUCUCGGAUGGAUUUGAGUAAGAGCAUACGGGGCCGGACCCGAAAGAAGGUGAACUAUGCCUGUAUAGGGUGAAGCCAGAGGAAACUCUGGUGGAGGCUCGCAGCGGUUCUGACGUGCAAAUCGAUCGUCAAAUAUGGGCAUGGGGGGCGAAAGACUAAUCGAACCUUCUAGUAGCUGGUUUCCGCCGA
rnacentral:rRNA from 1 species